CCUUUUGAAGACAGCUUUGCACAAAUGUUGUUGGAAGAGCCGUUCCUUGCCCAUUGGUAACCAAUGCAAAUCCAAUAGCAUCUAUUUCAAGAGGUGUCUCAGGCCUCACAACUCAGUGGUUCCCAGUCCAGGCAGUGACAGCAACAGCAGAACAGGUAAAAGUUCCACAAUUUGUCAAAAACGUCACUGUCACAUGACAGAGUCACAGGGUAGAAGGUGGAGAUGCUGUGCUGCUUCUCAUGUGUUUUAGAACAUGAUCUCCCAUGAAAUGCCACAAAGAGAGGCACAUUGGACCGUACUGCACUUGGGAAGUUGAAUUUUAAAGAAUCCAGAAGAAAUUAUAACUGGGAUUUUGAUCCAAAAAUAACCCAGGAAGACAAAACAAGCAGAGAGUGGAGGAACUGCAUUUUGUGUGAUGUAGGAGUGCAGAGGCAAACUCCAGCAGCAGCCCGUGCAUUUACUGACACUGAAGGUUUCUCAGUGCCCACCAGCUGCUGCACGUGGCUUUUCUCUGCCCUUGGCUUAUCGAGAUGCAGUCAGACAUCCCUGGCUUUAUCUGGCUAUCCAUAGAAACAUCUGAGAGAUCUGACUUUUGCAUCAUUUGGGUGCAGUAAUGAAUAAGAACUGACAUCAAAUAUCAAUAUUAU